rnacentral:rRNA from 1 species
CGAGUCUUAACUGGGCGAAUGAGUUGCAGGGUAUAGACCCGAAACCCGGUGAUCUAUCCAUGGGCAGGUUGAAGGUUGGGUAACACUAACUGGAGGACCGAACCGACUAAUGUUGAAAAAUUAGCGGAUGACUUGUGGAUGGGGGUGAAAGGCCAAUCAAACCGGGAGAUAGCUGGUUCUCCCCGAAAGCUAUUUAGGUAGCGCCUCGUGAACUCAUCUUCGGGGGUAGAGCACUGUUUCGACUAGGGGGUCAUCCCGACUUACCAACUCGAUGCAAACUGCGAAUACCGAAGAAUGUUAUCACGGGAGACACACGGCGGGUGCUAACGUCCGUCGUGAAGAGGGAAACAACCCAGACCGCCAGCUAAGGUCCCAAAGUCAUGGUUAAGUGGGAAACGAAGUGGGAAGGCUCAGACAGCCAGGAUGUUGGCUUAGAAGCAGCCAUCAUUUAAAGAAAGCGUAAUAGCUCACUGGUCGAGUCGGCCCGCGCGGAAGAUGUAACGGGGCUAAACCAUGCACCGAAGCUGCGGCAGCGACACAAAGUGU